UACGAAGGGGGCUAGCGUUGCUCGGAAUCACUGGGCGUAAAGGGUGCGUAGGCGGGUCUUUUAAGUCAGGGGUGAAAUCCUGGAGCUCAACUCCAGAACUGCCUUUGAUACUGAAGAUCUUGAGUUCGGGAGAGGUGAGUGGAACUGCGAGUGUAGAGGUGAAAUUCGCAGAUAUCGGGAAGAACACCCGUGGCGAAGGCGGCUCUCUGGGACGGUACUGACGCUGAGACGCGAAAAGCGUGGGGAGCGAACAGG
rnacentral:rRNA from 1 species